GCCCCGCCUCUUGCCCUCGCUCGCCCGUCCGCCGCCGGAGCACCUGCAGCAGGGGGCUCGCAGGUGCUGGGCACGCCCUGGCUGCGGUGGCAGAAAAUGCAAACCCGGGCUGAGGACGCGACGUCUUCCCAAAGGAGCGGAUUUCUUAUUCCUGCAAAGGAAGGGAAUGAGCGGAGGCCAUCUGCAUAAGGCCAGGAAGCUGGACAGAGCCUGGCAGCAGGAGAGGAUCGCGCAGGAUCGCACAGUGAGACGGCAGCAUGCCGACUGGAAACACCAGCGGGGGUCACACAAGGGAGCGGCUAGCGGCACGCAGCCUGCACGGUUGGGCCGGGCCCAGAGCCGAGUCCUGAAGCUGGUGGUUACUUUCCGGGGGGUGCUGAGCCGGCUGCGGCCGGGUCAUGUGCAGCGCGUAACUUGCGGCUGACAACAGACGGCACCUGCAACUCUGCUCCCGGGGGUGAUUGUGGGGCAGCAACAUUCCCAUCACCUGGCCCCACGUCAGCCGGCUGCAGUGCGGUGGUGCCGU
rnacentral:lncRNA from 1 species